rnacentral:rRNA from 1 species
AACGAACGCUGGCGGCAGGCUUAACACAUGCAAGUCGAACGCCCUAGCAAUAGGGAGUGGCAGACGGGUGAGUAACGCGUGGGAACGUGCCCUUUGGUUCGGAAUAACUCGGGGAAACUCGAGCUAAUACCGGAUACGCCCUUAUGGGGAAAGGUUUACUGCCGAAGGAGCGGCCCGCGUUCGAUUAGCUAGUUGGUGAGGUAAUGGCUCACCAAGGCGACGAUCGAUAGCUGGUCUGAGAGGAUGGCCAGCCACAUUGGGACUGAGACACGGCCCAAACUCCUACGGGAGGCAGCAGUGGGGAAUAUUGGACAAUGGGCGCAAGCCUGAUCCAGCCAUGCCGCGUGAGUGAUGACGGCCUUAGGGUUGUAAAGCUCUUUCGCACGCGACGAUAAUGACGGUAGCGUGAGAAGAAGCCCCGGCUAACUUCGUGCCAGCCGCCGCAGUAAAA